GGUAAUCAGGAUGGCAGUGAGGCAGGCACUUGCUUGCAGAAGAACAGGCCUAGUUUUUUAAGAAGCCACAAAAGUGUCUUUGGAUGAUUAGGAUCUAAGGGGCCAACAGCUUUGCAAUAACAGCAUAAAUAUUGUGGGCUGGAUGGACAGGCACCAAAUGGGGACAUUCCAUCCUGCUGUGUGAUGAGAAAGCUGCCACUUUUGAGGCCUUCCAAAACAAAUCAACACUCCAUAUGCCAGAAGGAAAAGCCCAGGAAAGACCUAUUCCAACUGGAGAUGGAAUACGAAGGGAGAAUGAAACAAAACUGCUCCGCUUAGGGAACUUGGAAAGGAAAUUGAAAAGGCAAGGCACAGGCUGGAAGAAAAUAUUUGAAAAAGAUUUAUGUGAACUUCUUUCUGGAUUAUACAAAAUAUUUUUAGAUAUUCUUACAACUCUAAAAUAAGAUAACUCCUUAAAAAUCUAAAUUCUACCAAAGGAGAGAUAAAGAUGACGAAUACAUUCAAAGAUGCUGAAAAUCACUUAUUUAUUAUUAGGAAGUUACAAGCUAAAGCAUAAUGAGAUACCACUACAACCUACUAAACUGACUAAAAUUAAUCAGACUAACCAGGUGUUGGCAAGAAACAGGGACACUGAGACUCUCACACUGCUGGAAGGAAUGUAAAAUGCUAAAACUUCUUUGGAAAUGAGUUCAGUAACUUUUUAAACAGUUGAAAAUAGACCUAUCAUGCAAACCAGCAAUCCCACUUCCAGGUAUUUAUACAAGGAAAAUGACAACAUAUGCCCACAUAAAGACUUGUGCACAAAUGACCGUAGCAGCUUUGUGAUAAUUGCUAAAAACUAGAAACUUGUCAAGUGUCCAACAGGUGAGUGGACAAACUCACUAUAG
rnacentral:lncRNA from 10 species